rnacentral:rRNA from 1 species
GAUGAACGCUAGCGGCAGGCCUAAUACAUGCAAGUCGAGGGGUAACAUAGAGAGCUUGCUUUCUGAUGACGACCGGCGGACGGGUGCGUAACGCGUAUGUAACCUACCUAUUACUGGGGGAUAGCCCGGAGAAAUUCGGAUUAAUACCCCAUGGUACCAUAAUGUAGCAUUGCAUAAUGGUUAAAGAUUUAUUGGUAAUAGAUGGGCAUGCGUAAGAUUAGCUAGUUGGUAAGGUAAUGGCUUACCAAGGCUACGAUCUUUAGGGGGUCUGAGAGGAUGAUCCCCCACACUGGAACUGAGACACAGUCCAG